GACGUAGGGGGCCAGCGUUGUUCGGAAUUACUGGGUGUAAAGGGUUCGUAGGCGGUGCGGCAAGUCGGGAGUGAAAUCUCUGGGCUUAACCCAGAGGCUGCUUCCGAAACUGCUGUGCUUGAGUGUGGGAGAGGCGCGUGGAAUUGCAGGUGUAGCGGUGAAAUGCGUAGAUAUCAGGAGGAACACCGAUGGCGAAGGCAGUUCUCUGGGCCGUAACUGACGCUGAGGAGCGAAAGCGUGGGGAGCGAACAGG
rnacentral:rRNA from 1 species